rnacentral:rRNA from 1 species
UACGGAGGGGGCUAGCGUUGUUCGGAAUUACUGGGCGUAAAGCGCACGUAGGCGGACUGUUAAGUCGGGGGUGAAAUCCUGGGGCUCAACCUCAGAAUUGCCUCCGAUACUGGCAGUCUCGAGUGGGGGAGAGGUGAGUGGAAUUCCCAGUGUAGAGGUGAAAUUCGUAGAUAUUGGGAAGAACACCAGUGGCGAAGGCGGCUCACUGGCCCGUAACUGACGCUGAGGUGCGAAAGCGUGGGGAGCAAACAGG